GCUCUUGUAGCUCAGGGGUAGAGCGCGUCCUUGGUAAGGACGAGGUCGGCGGUUCAAAUCCGCUCAAGAGCUCCA
rnacentral:tRNA from 2 species